rnacentral:rRNA from 1 species
GUGGGGAAUAUUGGACAAUGGGCGAAAGCCUGACCCAGCCAUGCCGCGUGAGUGAUGAAGGCCUUAGGGUUGUAAAGCUCUUUCAGUAGGGAAGAUAAUGACGGUACCUACAGAAGAAGCCCCGGCUAACUUCGUGCCAGCAGCCGCGGUAAUACGACGGGGGCUAGCGUUGUUCGGCUUUACUGGGCGUAAAGCGCACGUAGGCGGAUUGGUCAGUUAGAGGUGAAAUCCUGGAGCUCAACUCCAGACCUGCCUUUAAUACUGCCAGUCUAGAGUCCAGAAGAGGUGAGUGGAACUCCUAGUGUAGAGGGGGAAUUCGUAGAUAUUCGGAAGAACACCAGUGGCGAAGGCUACUCACUGGCCCAAUACUGACGCUGAGGCGCGAAAGCGUGGGGAGCAAACAGGAUUAGAAACCCGGGUAGUCC